AGCGAACGCUGGCGGCAGGCUUAACACAUGCAAGUCGAGCGGGCAUCCUUGUGGUGUCAGCGGCAGACGGGUGAGUAACGCGUGGGAACGUGCCCUUCGGUUCGGAAUAACUCAGGGAAACUUGAGCUAAUACCGGAUAUGUGCGAGAGCAGAAAGGUUUAUCUGCCGAAGGAUCGGCCCGCGUCUGAUUAGCUAGUUGGUGAGGUUACGGCUCACCAAGGCGACGAUCAGUAGCUGGUCUGAGAGGAUGAUCAGCCACACUGGGACUGAGACACGGCCCAGACUCCUACGGGAGGCAGCAGUGGGGAAUAUUGGACAAUGGGGGCAACCCUGAUCUAGCCAUGCCGCGUGAGUGAUGACGGCCUUAGGGUUGUAAAGCUCUUUUCUCCGGGACGAUAAUGACGGUACCGGAGGAAUAAGCCCCGGCUAACUUCGUG
rnacentral:rRNA from 1 species